rnacentral:rRNA from 1 species
UACGUAGGGUGCGAGCGUUAAUCGGAAUUACUGGGCGUAAAGUGUGCGCAGGCGGCUUCGCAAGUCGAGUGUGAAAUCCCCGAGCUUAACUUGGGAAUUGCGCUCGAAACUACGGAGCUGGAGUGUGGCAGAGGAUGGUGGAAUUCCCAGUGUAGAGGUGAAAUUCGUAGAUAUUGGGAAGAACACCGAUGGCGAAGGCAGCCAUCUGGACCGACACUGACGCUGAGGCGCGAAAGCGUGGGGAGCAAACAGG